CCUACGGGAGGCAGCAGUGGGGAAUAUUGGGCAAUGGGCGGAAGUCUGAAGCAGCGAUGCCGCGUGAAGGAAGACGGCUCUAGGAGUUGUAAACUGCUUUUGUACAGAGGUAAGCCUGCAUACGUGUAUUCCACUGAAAUUACUGUACGAAUAAAGAUCGGCUAACCCAGUUCCAGCAGCCGAGGUGAUACGGAGGGUCCGAGCGUUAUACGGAUUUAUUGGGUUUAAAGGGUGCGUAGGGGGAUUGAUAAGUUAGAGGUGAAAUGUCCGAGCUUAACGUGGGAACUGCCUUUAAUACUGGCGAUCUAGAGAGUAGAUGCGGAAGGUGGAAUGCAGGGUGUAGCGGUGAAAUGCUUAGAGAUCAUACAGAACACCGAUGGCGAAGGCAGCUUACCAACAUAUAACUGACGCUGAGGAACGAAAGCGUGGGGAGCAAACAGGAUUAGAUACCCGGGUAGUC
rnacentral:rRNA from 1 species